rnacentral:sRNA from 1 species
GCUGGGUACGGUGGUGCUCACCUGUAAUCCCAGUGGCUGGGGAGGCUGAGGCAGGAGAAUCACGAGUUUAAAGCCACCUCAGCAAUGGCAAGGUGCUAAGCAACUCCAUGAAAUCCUGUCUCUA